GACGAACGCUGGCGGCGUGCUUAACACAUGCAAGUCGAACGGAAAGGCCCUGCUUGCAGGGUACUCGAGUGGCGAACGGGUGUGUAACACGUGGGUGAUCUGCCCUGCACUUCGGGAUAAGCCUGAAACUGGGUCUAAUACCGGAUAGGAGCCAUUUUUAGUGUGAUGGUUGGAAAGUUUUUUCGGUGUAGGAUGAGCUGGCGGCCUAUCAGCUUGUUUGUGGGGUAAUGGCCUACCAAGGCGGCGACGGGUAGCCGGCCUGGGAGGGUGGACGGCCACAUUGGGACUGAGAGACGGCCCAGACACCUACGGGAGGAAGCAGUGGGGAAUAUUGAACAAUGGGAGCAAGCCUGAUGCAGAGAAGCCGCGUGGGGGAUGACGGCCUUAGGGUUGUAAACUACUUUCGCUAGGGACGAAGCUUUUUGUGACGGUACCUAGAUAAGAAGCACCGGCUAACUACGUG
rnacentral:rRNA from 1 species